rnacentral:rRNA from 1 species
GAUGAACGCUGGCGGCGUGCCUAAUACAUGCAAGUCGAGCGAACAGACGAGGAGCUUGCUCCUCUGACGUUAGCGGCGGACGGGUGAGUAACACGUGGAUAACCUACCUAUAAGACUGGGAUAACUUCGGGAAACCGGAGUUAAUACCGGAUAAUAUAUUGAACCGCAUGGUUCAAUAGUGAAAGACGGUUUUGCUGUCACUUAUAGAUGGAUCCGCGCCGCAUUAGCUAGUUGGUAAGGUAACGGCUUACCAAGGCAACGAUGCGUAGCCGACCUGAGAGGGUGAUCGGCCACACUGGAACUGAGACACGGUCCAGACUCCUACGGGAGGCAGCAGUAGGGAAUCUUCCGCAAUGGGCGAAAGCUGGACGGAGCAACGCCGCGUGAGUGAUGAAGGUCUUCGGAUCGUAAAACUCUGUUAUUAGGGAAGAACAAAUGUGUAAGUAACUAUGCACGUCUUGACGGUACCUAAUCAGAAAGCCACGGCUAACUACGUG